CUUAAUAUAUAUUUUUCAUUUUGGUAAUUUGGGAGAAAAAAAUUGUCGCCUGACGGCACGUAGACAACCUUUCAAUCAAUCAAUUAUGCGAAUAAAAACAUAAGACUAAAUAGUCAAAACAUGCUUUAGUAAAAGUGGAUUCAUUAUUGGUUACAGAAAUUGCUUGUUCUUACAAAAAUGAUUAAAACAAUCCAAACUAGCUAUUUUUUGGGAAAUCACUAUCAAAUUCAAAAGAUAAAACUUUAGACGGGCCCAUUUAAUUACCACUUUGUUCACACAUGCCUCCAUUAAGUGGCCCUUAAUUCACACUAUUACACUUUAAGUAUAAGUAUUUAACAAUCUUGGUUAUAUAUUUCAUAUCAUCUAUCUAUAUAUAUAAAAAUAUGUUCGCCUCCCUCCUGUGAUGUCACGUCAUCAAGUCGUGCGUUAUGUGAGUGACACGUGUCCCAUUUUAUAUUUGGGGUCAAAAUAAAACAAAAAACUGUCAGGAGUAAUUGAACCCAACACAUCCAGCACUGAUAAUUUCUCUUAGAACCACUAGGCUAAAAUCACUUUUUAUAAAUAUGAAGCCGCGAAAAUACUUAUUAUCGUGUUGGCUGGAAGCCCAUGCUUCUUCUGCUUGUGGCCAGGGCCGGCACUGGACUAAUGUCAAGAUGAAGAUCGUGAAAUUAAAAACUUUGCUCCAAACAGUUUUGCAAUGUUUCCAACCUUUAUAACUUGAUGCAUAUAAUAUAUAUCAAAAUACAUUUGUUGUACACGCUUUUAUUAGUUUUACUUUAAAAAAAAGGUAUUUGCAGUUAUAAAUGUUUUGUGCCAAUGAAGUAAUGGUUGAAAAACCUCUAUACAUAUCCCAUUUUAUUAGUUUUACUUUUAAAAAAAGGUAUUUGCAGUUAUAAAUGUUUUGUGCCAAUGAAGUAAUGGUUGAAAAACCUCUAUACAUAUCCCUUUCUUAUUAUUUGAGGAGCAUUAAAAAUAAAUAACCUUUAGUUCAUGUGUUUAUUACAAGUGUGCCAUUUCUUAUGUGGCAACUCCACAAGCUCUCUCACAUAUUCUAUUUAAAACCCCUUUGUUAACUAGAGUAAUUACACAACAUGCCAUUGAUCAAAACAUUAUAAUUACCUUAGUUUUGUCUACAUUUGUCA
rnacentral:lncRNA from 1 species